rnacentral:rRNA from 1 species
AUGAAACAACCUCCUGGGUUUGUAAAUGCACAGGCACCACUUCAUGUGUGCAAACUUGACAAGGCCCUAUAUGGACUGAAACAGGCCCCAAGAGCAUGGUAUUCUCAUCUCAGUAAAAAGAUGCAAACACUUGGUUUUGUUCCUUCGAAGUCUGACACUUCGUUAUUUAUCUAUAACAAGUUAAGAAUAUCUAUAUUUGUUCUCAUUUAUGUUGAUGAUAUAACUAUGACAAGCUCAUCUGAUGAAACAAUAACAACACUAUUGAAGGAUUUAAGUGCAGAAUUUGCUCUCAAGGAUCUAGGAGAUCUACAUUAUUUUCUUGGUAUUGAGGUAGUAAAGAGGAAGAAUAUCAUUCACCUCUCUCAAGAAAACUAUGCAACAGACGUAGUGAAAAAAGACUGGUUUGCAAAGUUGUAA